rnacentral:rRNA from 1 species
UGAUAGGCUGGGUGUGUAAGCGUUGUAAGGCGUUGAGCUAACCAGUACUAAUUGCUCGUGAGGCUUGACCAU